UUUUAAAGGAUGUAAUAACUUACAAUGGAGUUUUAUUCAUCUGAAUUAAAGAUUUCUCUGCUCACCUUCAAAAGUGUACAGCAGUGUGCUGGGAGUUUGCAAAAGCACAGGAUGAAAAGACAUGGAGAGAGUGCAUACUGUUGGACAUUUGAGAUGAGCUAGAGCAUAAAGUAACCUAAAUAAUAAAUAAUUUAAAACAGAUUUUUAAAGCAGUUUCCCUCUGCCCUUUCUUCCCUCAACCUUAUACCCCUGCCUCUCACCCUACAUCCCUCAGCCUCAUUGGAGAGACUCAUUCACUUUUUUCUAUCAUUAGAGGAUUUUAGUGGGAACAUUUGAAAAAUUACAUCCUUUGUUAUUUAUCAUCCAUUAGUGGGUGUUGUGAAUUACUUUAUCAGAUUAUUGUGAUCAAACAGGUAUCUGCAAGGGCCAAGGAAUAACUGAGAAAAGGAUGCAACUCGUGACAGGUGAUGGCUGAAGAAGUGGAAGAGGAAACAGGUGAAGGAGAGAAACAGUCUGGAAUUCAACAGAUAACUGAGACCAGGAUAUCCUGAACUCUAGGGCAGCCAAGCCGUUAGCCCCCUAGGGACUAGAGCUUUGAAAAGAUGUGCCUUAGGGACUGAAGCAGAGGAGUGAAGCAGAGAGGUCAGGGAGCAUUAGCAUCAAAACAUUUUAUAUUAUAACUUAUCCCUCCCCAGGAAGAAUAUAGACAAAUUCAGCAGCUAUGUCAGCCAUGAGAUUUGCUGCCGAUGAUAUAUAUUUGCAUCAAGCGAAAGAGCUGAAAUUACAAUCUGUGUUCAUGAUAAAUGGAGACUUGGAAGACAUUUACUUUGUCUUGCCUUUUGCUUACUUGGGCAUCAUGCAGACACAAGACACCACCAGAGUUUGCUUAGACAACACUCAACAUGGGGUAGGAGGGAGAAGGAUGGGAGAAAAUCACUGUGAAACAUUGCCACUUCCAUUGCAAUUCCAGAACCAUCAUUUUACACUGUGAAUGCUGCUGCUGUAUAUGAGGAGCAGGAGCCUUUCCUGAUCCAAAGGCCUUGGCAGGAGGUUUCAUUUGUCAGGGAAGGAAAAUGCAUAAUUCAAAAUGAAAGUCACCGGGUCCUGAAAAUUUAAAACAAAUGAAGCAAAACUUCAUUGUUUGGAUCAGCAUCAGGGAACUACUCCUGCCCCUCCAGAGAGGGAGCCACCCCUCCCAUUUCUCACUUGCUAUCAGACCCUAUAAACAUAGUGAAAAAGAGAGGAGGGAGUUCCCGUCGUGGCUCAAUGGUCAAAGAAUCCGACUAGGAACCAUGAGGAACUCCCCGAGAACCCAUUUUCUUAUCUUCUUCAUGUUAGAGAAACUGCCUUCAUUCCUUGAUUAGUAGCCCUUUCCCCCCCUUCAAAGUCAGCAGUGACAAGUCAAGCCCUCCUCAGGAUACCAUCUCAGACUGUGACUCUUCUGCUUCUCUCUGACCCAUUUAAAGACCCUUGUGUUUACAUUAGGCUCAUCUGGAUAAUCCAGGAUAACCUUCUCAUGUAAAGGGCAAAUAAUUAACAAUCAUAAUUCAAUCUGCAACCUUAAUUCCCCCUCAUCAAGUACCUGAACAUAUUCAUGGGUUCCGGGAACUGACAUGGACGUCUUUGGGGUGUGAUUACCUACCUACGACAGACACUAUGUUAGAAGCCCUACAACGUAAUUCUAUCUAGUGCUUUCCAAUCUCUUCUUUACAUCAGGGAACUUAGUGAAAGUGAAAACAUUUUAUAGGAUACUGGGGCAACUGGAUAACCCUGUCAUGCCCAAGCACAAUUUGGGUGAAGUAGUCUACAAUGACCAUGGGAGUGGUCACAGGGGCUUACAACAAUGCUGUUGAGACUGAGACAGGAAUCAAACCACAGACCUGCAUGUACUGUCUGGAUCCAUGGAGUUUUCCAGGGCAGCUGAGUGGGAGCGGGAAGCUCUACCAUCUUUAAUCUGCCACCUCUGCUUCCUCCCAGUCUCAGAGGGGCCCUGUCUCCAUGAGGUCAGCACAUAUCCAUCUUCUUAUCUAAACAUAAGUUUCCUUUCCUCCUGUCCUCCCCUUCCUUCUCUCGGACAACCCAAUGUGAUUCCUUACUGCUCCUGACACUUGAUGAAGGAUUUAAUUGAAUGAUAAAUUCAACUCAGACUGACUAAUGUAAAAAAGAAGACUUCUUUUUUUUUUUGGUCUCACAUAACCAAGGAGUUCAAGGGGAGAAUUAGCUUCAGGCAUAGCUGGAUCCAGGCGUAAAUGGCUCUGAAGUCCUCCUUGGAAGCUCUUUAUCUAUUUCAAUAAUGUAGCCCUUGGCAGCAUCAAGUUUACAUCCUUCUUUCUGUUAGCAGUCUCAGCUGAAAGCACACUCUAUAAAUUAUCCAAACAUGAAUUCAUUGAGAUUUCCUUUGACCUACUUUAUGAUCAAUUUAAAAAUAUUCUGGAAGUAUUGGAAAAGAGAGAAUUCUUUUGUUUACAAUGACCAAAUAGGGGACAUUUUCAGUAGACCAUUACUAUGGCUUUAAAAUGAAAUUUAAACAUGUUUAAGUCCCUGUGCACACAGCUCUAAGGGGUUGGGAAAAGGAAGAUUCAUUAUUUUCAAAGUUUUUAAAAGAUAAGCUCACAGAUCCCUAUUCAGGAAAGAGUGUCUCUCUCUAUAUAUAAAAAAGUUAACAGCUGAUUUUAACUUCUUAACAGAAGCUUUUUAAAAUUUCCCCUUUGAUCUAAUAGGUGAGGAGCCAUAUUCUGGUUUUCUAUCUAAAGAUCCACCAGCAUCAAUAUAUAAACUGAUUUCUGUCUCCUUUCAAAAAUUAUUUCUUAAAAGAUAACUAUCUCUGACAGCUUGGACUAUGGUAUUUGAGCAAAAAAAAAAAAUAUUUUCCAACCCUAUGUCUGCAAGAAAAACAAUGAGAAAAACUAACAGUAAAAGAGAUGUUAUCAUAUGAGAGAAAAAAAAAUCUGCAGGAUGACUAUCUUAGAGUCUCAGUAUCUUUAUGAACAGAUGUCAUUUAUUUGGUAUAAUCAAAAUGUUCCCAUUUAGUUUCACCCAUUUUAUAAGAAAAGUAAAAGAUUGUGUAAUGUUUCCAAAAAUCACAUUGUUGAGAUAUGCACAUUUUGUUGAGAUGUCCAAUUCAUUCAUUCAGUAAAUACUGAGUAUCCACUCUAUGCUGGUCACAGAGAUAACCAUUUAUGUCACAUCUGUGAACAAAACAAAGAUGCCUAUGUUCAUGAAACUUAUAUUCUAUCAAAAGGAAAGAGAUAAAAUAAUAAGCAAAUAAUAUGAUAAUGCUGCAUUUUUUAAAAAAUGGAGAUGAAAGGGAUGGAGAGGGCGGAAGAGGAGGGACACCAUGUAGAAUUAAAUUGGGUGGCCGGGGAGGUUCUACUGAAAAGGUGACAUUUGACCUAAGACUUUAAGAAGGUGAAAGAGUUGAUCAUAUGGUAGAAGAAUGGUCCAAAGAGAGGAGAUAGCUAAAGCAAAGGCCCUAAGGAGGAAGCAUUCCUGGCCUGUUCCUG
rnacentral:lncRNA from 1 species